CCCUUGAUAAAAAACACCAUGUUUAGUUGCAAAAUAGGUCACAGACACUGGAUUAUCUGCUUAUGGCGUUUCAUGCGAUCAAACACAACUUUGAGGACAAAAACAACAAAGGGUUGUCUCUCGGUAUUGAAGUCCAUCAGACACCCUCAGAACUCAUCAGGAAACCUGGGGACAGUGCAUACAUAUCUGCAUGCACUGGGAAACCGACUACAAAGUGAUGCUGUGAUACCAGCAGUCUGAUGGAAAGAGACCUCUGAUCGGACAUGUGAAUUACAAAACCUCCAACGUAGAAAGUGUGUUUAUAGAGGACUUUACACUGUCGGGGGAUCCCAGUGGGGAGACAGUCAUGAACAGCUCUCUUCUGGUUCGCCUGUAUUACUGUACUGCUAGAUUAGCACAUCAUCCCACACCCACCACUAUUCUUCACAAACACAACAGUGUGUGGUUCUUAUCAGCGGCGGUUUGGAAUGAAAAGCUCAACUAAGUGGUCCCCCGGCCACCUGCGUUUGAGGUCGAGGACGAUCUUUUAUUCGUCGUUGUUUUCGACCAAUCAUGUGCUGUAUUUCUUUCCAGUGCAAUUUUGCUGCUCAUCAAAACUCUCUCAACCCAUGAUGGGUCGGUCCUCAGCUGCAAACCAUUCAAAAAGAUCAUAAAACACUAUAAGGAAAGCUAAUACAAACAUACCAAGCACUUGGAAGUGUUCUUAAGCUGUUUUGUGUUUGAGUCUACACCAAUUGUCACCACCAUCAGUACUGUACGGUUAGAAGAGUUGUUGGCAUCACCUCCUCUCUUCUAACAACUUACAUAAAAUGGCUCCUCCCACCUGGGGGUUCCGGUAUGGUUGUGAGAUGGAAAUAGGAGCCACUUCAAUCAGAAUGAUGCAUAGGUUAUGUACUCAAUAUGGGUGUGUUUAAAGGACGACCAUUACAAGCUAGCUAGCGUUGACUUAUCACAUCCAGACAUGUUGACAAUCACCUUCCUCGCGCUACUGAUAACAUUAAACGAUGUCUCAGGUGCAUCUCUUAGCGACCAGGUUCACCAGACUCCACCUGAGAUCGUUGUGGCCAUCGAGUCAGGACCAACGGUCACGCUGGAAUGCUCUCACAGCAUUAAGAACUACGACCAAAUC